rnacentral:rRNA from 1 species
CCUACGGGUGGCAGCAGUGGGGAAUAUUGCGCAAUGGGCGAAAGCCUGACGCAGCGACGCCGCGUGAGGGAUGAAGGUCUUCGGAUCGUAAACCCCUUUCAGCAGGGAAGCACGGUCACUGUGCUAAUCAGCAGUGAAUUGACGGUACCUGCAAAGGAAGCACCGGCUAACUCCGUGCCAGCAGCCGCGGUAAUACGGAGGGUGCGAGCGUUAAUCGGAAUUACUUGGCGUAAAGCGAUAGUAGGCGGUAUGUCAAGUCAAGGGUGAAAUCCCCGCGCUCAACGUGGGAACUGCCUUUGAAACUGGCAAACUGGAGUGUGUGAGAGGAUAGUGGAAUUCCAGGUGUAGGAGUGAAAUCCGUAGAUAUCUGGAGGAACAUCAGUGGCGAAGGCGACUAUCUGGCACAUAACUGACGCUGAGGAGCGAAAGCGUGGGUAGCAAACAGGAUUAGAUACCCCAGUAGUC